CGAGCUUCCAAAGCAGCAAUUUUUUCUUCUUUUAUUUCAAGAGACUUUUUUAGGGUAGACUCUAAUUUUGACUCCAAAAGCUUGUACCUACUACUCAAUGAAAUAUGAAGAUGUACUUUUUAUUGACACUUCAACAAACAUAAAAUUUGAAACAUUUACAUAUACAUGUUAGAUUCCAGUGUAAUGUUCUUGAAAGAUUUUGGAGAAACUAGGUUAGUUUUGGAAGACGACUAUUUGUCUGCAGAUACAACACAGACAGCAGCAGAGUAGGUUUCCCUGAAUCCUUGUCAAAAUGCUUCAAUGCUGACUUGGAAGACCAGUAUAGAAAUGAAAAUAGGUAAGAAUGCAAAGGCAUAGCAGGACAGCUUCAUGCCCAGAGCAGUGUGGUACAUAGAGCACUGC